GUGUACAGCCACACAUCCCUGAAAGUGCCCAAUCUUGUCUGAGCUUGGACGCUGAGCAGGGUCAGUGCUUGGGUGGGAGAAGGCUUUGGUUAAUAAGGCUCCCCCUUGAAUACUAUGUAGA
ensembl:rRNA 5S_rRNA 5S ribosomal RNA